rnacentral:lncRNA from 1 species
AUCUUUGCAGAUGCGGCUGAGGUGAGGUCACAUGGAGUCAGAUCAGGACUACAAACUAUAGAAGACUGUGUGGAGACACAAUGCAGACAUGGUCACAGAAAAGAAGCCUGUGAUAGAAGAAGCUGAGACUAAGUCCUGCAGCUCUGAGGCAAGGAGCCACAGAGAUUGUCUGUCAAGCCAGAGGCUAGGGAGAGCGCUGGGGGAGCGGUCCUGGGAGCCUGCCAAGAUGGACCUGUCUCCCAACAAUUUAGACUUCUGUCUUUUAGGUCUGUGAAAGAAUGGAUUUCUGAGAGAAUGAAUAAAGAAGUAAUCAGAGCUCUUGCAGGAGGGGAGUUUUCCCCACCAUCAACUCAAGAGACAAGGCAGCAGCCACCUUGCCUCAGACCAGCUCAACUCAACAUGACCCAGUAUGCCAGAGCCACCACCUGCCACCAAGACACUGUCCUCUGCCAUGGAGGGUGGAUGUUCUUUUACAACCUAACUUCCUCUGCUCCUGGGUGAGGCUUCCUGUUAAGUCCUUCUGAGAACUGAAGUUUUCAGAGCUUUCGAGACUUUUGCAACCCUCAUGACAAGUUAUUGUCUGGAUUUGCUUCUCUUCCACAAUAUCCGGUGUUUCCACUGCAGUGUCUGCUUUGAAGUCACAGGCCAGACUUUCUAGCAAGUACCCUGCCACUUCCAAACAUCUUUUACUCCCUCGUGUCAACACUGUGUCUAAGUAAGCAUGCCCUACAGAUGGUGUCUACAAAUAAAAAACUGUUGCUUUGAUUUUAGGAAAAUUGAGAUCAAAAUUCAGUGUCCAGAAUUCACCAGACAUUUAACACUUUCUUCUACUUGAAUCAUGUAAGCCUGGCCCUCAAGUCAGGUCUUUUCCCAAGGAGGCUCCAAGCAGCGCAUGGGUGUGUCUCACACAAGAGAACAAUCAACAAGAUUAAGUUACUUUGAGUUCCUAAUUGAUUUUCCAGAACUCCCUCUUCCUAUCACAAAAUACAGCUUUCUGAGCAACUCAUUCAGUGUAGUUGAAUGCUACAAGGGUGGGGGUGGUGUACUUUAAGAAACCAGAC